UUGUAUUAAGUGCUUGAUCCUACGUGAAAGUUAAUGGCAUGUUGAGAGUAUGCUAGUGAGAUAGUUUAUGUGCAAGUUUGAUACUAUAUAGUUAUUAUCUUUCGUACUUUAAUAAUAGAUAGUUGGCUAAACAUGUAAAGUUAAUGAGCUAUUAGUAAGUGAUAGGAUUUUCGCUACGAGUUUAAGAAUUGUGUCAAGUUUCGAGGACGAAACUUAUUUUUAAGGGGGGUAGAUUGUAACACCCCGAUUUUUAAAAUAGUUUAUUAUUUAUUUUAUUAACUAUAUUAUAUAUUUUAGUUUAUUUAAUAAUUAAAUUCAUUUAUCUUUAGGAAUUAUUUGUAAAUAAUUUAUAUGCUUAUAGUGGACAAGUUUAGUAAGUAAUUUAACUAGUAAUAGUAAUAAGAGGAAAUUUAUUCACAUAUAUGUAAGAAGGGGGAAUAGGGAAAAAUAAAACAAGAAAAGAAAAAGGAAAGAAAAAAAAAUAACAAAACUUAUAAAAGAACGACAUUCAAACGGUGCUUCACCACCGUUCACCAUCUUCACCAUCUUCUUCUCUCAAAAUCUUUAACAUUCUGCCUUCAUCACACAACCACCACCGUUGCCGACGACACAGCCACAACCGCCACUAGAGGUGAUACCAUAGAAGUAGGCGGCGCAAGGAAGAGCAAAGGGGGUCGUCGUUGUUGUAAUUUGGAGCAUUUAGUGCUCGAAUUAGGGGCGUUUGCAAGUUAUUUUUCAUCCUCAAUCUUCUAUAAUUAGUGGAUUCCAGUUUCAUUGAGGAGCCGUAUUGACUGAGCUAGUUGGUUUGAUAUAGUUUAAAAGGUACAUGAAGGCUUAGAGUCGGGGUAUGGGCGGAGAGCAACGUCCACUAGUUUUGCGUAAAUAUAAUUAUAAUAGUUCUGUUCUGGUGCAUUUCUUAUAUAUAAUCAAUAUUUUGAGACUUAAGGUUGUAAAUAUUAAUCCACUUAAAUCUUUAAUAGGUUGGGUUGUAAUAGUUUAAAAUAAGCUUUAAUUUAGUUUUGGUUCACGUAGUUCUUCCUUAGCGAUUAUUCUCGUGAUAAUCGUGGAAUAACACGUUUGGAUUUCGAGUAAUUAUACUGGAAAUUUGUUGGUAUUUGAAUGGGUGGAGUUGUUGGGAAUUUGGAAUUUGGAUUGCUGAUUUGUUGAAACAGGUUUAAAAUUCGGACGCCAGUCCUAAAUUAAAUUUUAGGCAGUCCAUUUUUCAAACGGAACUCUGGCGAAUUUUCUAUAGAAUUUUUUCACAACGUUUUCCAUAUUUCUCAACUUCGUCGCUACAUUAGUGACCCCUCACAUGUACUCACACCUGAUGACUUGCAACUAGAAGAUAACCUUUCAUAUGUUGAGGUCCCUAUGAAAAUUCUUGAUAGUAAAGUUCGAGCAACUCGGAAUGGAGAAGUUAAACUGGUGAAAGUAUUGUGGUCGAACCACAAG